UUCCAAGGGAAACACACAACUUCUGUUUCAGAGGCUGACAGGCAACGAAACAAAACAUCACAGAGGACAGGCUGCAAUGCAAGAAUGAGGGUGAAGGUGCAGGAGGAUAACACAUGUGUGGUAUUGGACAUUGAGUACAAUCAUAAUCACCACCUCAUGCAAUCUGAUGACAUGCUGGUAUUCUUGCACUCACACAAGAAUUAUGACCCCACUAUUUUGGAGUACGUAAAGCUCCUGCAGUACCAUGAUGUCAAGCAUACAACAAUCAUGUCCAUGCUAUCUGAAAAUGAAGAUGGAAGCUACUUCCUAAGCAUGACCGAACUGUAACGCCCACGAUGGAAAGCCAUGAAUGCAAGGAAAGAUGAUUUGGAUGAUGUAUUGACACUUGUAUCUUUCUUUAAAGACAUGAAGGCAAUCAAUGAUGAGUUUUUCUAUGACAUACAAUCCAAUGCAAGCUACCGAGGAGCGUAUCAAGACUUUGGCGAUUGCGUAACAUUCGACACAACUUACAAGACCAACAGAUUUCAUAUGCCUCUGGGAGUGUUUGUUGGAACCAACCAUCACUUGCAGUCAACGAUAUUUGCUGUUGCCCUAAUCAGAGACGAAGAUGCAAAGUCAUUCAAGUGGUUGUUUGAUACAUUUGUACGGUGCAUGAACAACAACCACCCAACUUGCAUUCUAACAAACCAGUGCCCGUCGAUGGCGAAAGCUAUACCACAAUCAUUCCCAAACACCGUCCACAAGCUAUGCCGUUGGCACAUCCUGAAGAAGUACAAGGAAUACCUCGCGUUGUUGUACAAAAAUUAUAAAACAUUCAAAGAGGAGUUCACAGCUAUAUUAAACUGGCCGCUGAUGCCAACGGAGUUUGAAGCUGCCUGGGCUGAACUCGUGCACAAGUACAACCUGGAGAACGACGAGAUGAUGAUGCGGCUGUGGAGUGAUAGGAAAAUGUGGAUUUCAGCAUAUUACAAGAACAUUUUCUAUGCUAGAAUGACUUCCACACAACGAAGCGAGAGCAUGAAUCAUGUGCUCAAGAGAUGGUUUGUCAAGGGGACCCAGAACCUACACAAGUUUUCUAGGCAGGUAAAUGCUUGCGUACAAACUCAGAUGCAGAAGGAGAACGAGCAAACAAUGACCAGCAUGGUAUGA
rnacentral:rRNA from 1 species